rnacentral:tRNA from 1 species
AGGUCAGUAGCUCAAUGGAUAGAGCAAGGGUUGCGCAACAUAAACUUUGACCGUGGUUGUGGGUUCGAAUCCCACCUGCCUG